UAAAANUGCCAUUGAAACUGGCGAACUUGAGUACAGUAGAGGUAGGCGGAAUUCGUGGUGUAGCGNUGAAAUGCUUAGAUNUCACGAAGAACUCNGAUUGCGAAGGCAGCUUGCUGGACUGUAACUGACGCUGAGGCACGAAAGCGUGGGGAUCAAACAGGAUUAGAUACCNUGGUAGNCCACGCCGUAAACGAUGAAUGCUAGCUGUUAGCGAUAUACUGUUAGCGGCACAGAGAAAUCGUUAAGCAUUCCACCUGGGGAGUACGCCGGCAACGGUGAAACUCAAAGGAAUUGACGGGGGCCCGCACAAGCGGAGGAACAUGUGGUUUAAUUCGAUGAUACGCGAGGAACCUUACCUGGGCUUAAAUUGCAGUGGAAUAGCGUGGAAACAUGCUAGCCUUCGGGCCGCUGUGAAGGUGCUGCAUGGUUGUCGUCAGCUCGUGCCGUGAGGUGUCGGCUUAAGUGCCAUAACGAGCGCAACCCUCAUCGAUAGUUACUAACAGGUUAAGCUGAGGACUCUAUCGAGACUGCCGACGUAAGUCGCGAGGAAGGUGGGGAUGACGUCAAAUCAGCACGGCCCUUACGUCCAGGGCUACACACGUGUUACAAUGGGGGGUACAAAGGGCAGCUACCUGGCGACAGGAUGCUAAUCUCAAAAACCUCUCUCAGUUCGGAUUGGAGUCUGCAACCCGACUCCAUGAAGCUGGAUUCGCUAGUAAUCGCGCAUCAGCCACGGCGCGGUGAAUACGUUCCCGGGCCUUGUACACACCGCCCGUCAAGCCAUGGGAGCCGGGGGGACCUGAAGUAUGCAACCGUAAGGAGCGUCCUAGGGUAAAACUGGUGACUGGGGCU
rnacentral:rRNA from 1 species